rnacentral:lncRNA from 1 species
CCAAAGGUCAGAAGGCCAAGGGGAAGAUGGGAAGACAGUGGUCCUGCGCCAACCGCUGUUGUGAAAAAGCAGGAAGCCAGAAAGGUGGUUAGUCCUUUGGUUGAGAAAAUACCCAAGAGCAUCACCAUUGGAAGGACAUCCAGCCCAAAAGAUAUCUCACAUGCUUCAACAAAUGGUCCCAUUACAUCAGGCUGCAGUGGCAAAGGGCCAUUCUCUGCCAGCGGAUCAAAGUAACUCCUGCCAUUAACCAGUUCACCCAGGCCCUGGACAGGCAAACAGCUACACAGCUGCUUAAGCUUGCUCCCAAGUAAUGGUCAGAGACAAAGCAAGAGAAGAAGUGAAGUCCCAUGCUGAGAAGAAAGCUGGUGGCCAAGGGGACGUCUCAACUAUGAGAUUAUCCGUCCUUCGAGCAGGGGUCAAAACAGUCACCACUUUAGUGGAGAACAAGGAGGCUCAGCUGGUGUGAUUGUCCAUGUCAUAGACCCAUUGAGCUGGUGGUUUCCUACCUGUCUGAUGUCAAAAGAUGAGGGUCUCCUGCUGAUCAUCAAGUGAAAGGACAGGCUGGGGCACCUGGUCCAUAGGAAGAUAUGCACCACUAUAGCAUGUCUUCUUCACACAGGUUAACUUGGAAGACAAGGGUGCUCUGGCUAAGCUGGUAGAAGCUAUUAGGACCAAUUACAGUGACAGAUAGGAUGAGAUCCGUUGCCACUAGGGAAGCAAUUCCUGGGUCCUAAGUCUGUGGCUUGUAUUGCCAAGCUGGAAAAGGGAAAGGCUAAAGAACUUGCCACUAAACUGGGUUAA